rnacentral:rRNA from 1 species
ACUGAGCGUUCAGUUACUUGACGUAGACCCGAAACCGGGCGACCUACCCAUGAGCAGGAUGAAGCGAAAGUAAAAUUUCGUGGAGGUCCGAACCCACGAGCGUUGAAAAGCUCGGGGAUGACUUGUGGGUAGCGGUGAAAUUCCAAUCGAGCCCGGAGAUAGCUGGUUCUCCCCGAAAUAGCUUUAGGGCUAGCCUCAAGGUGAGAGAUACGGAGGUAGAGCACUGAAUGUCCUAGGGGGUAUUGCACCUACCGAAGACUAUCAAACUCCGAAUGCCGUCAUCUUAUACUUGGGAGUCAGACUGUGGGUGAUAAGAUUCAUAGUCGAAAGGGCAACAGCCCAGAUCGUCAGCUAAGGUCCCUAAAUGUAAGUUAAGUGGUAAAGGAUGUGGGAUUGCACAGACAACCAGGAUGUUGGCUUAGAAGCAGCCACUCAUUCAAAGAGUGCGUAAUAGCUCACUGGUCGAGUGAUCCUGCGCCGAAGAUUUCCGGGGCUAAAACUU